rnacentral:rRNA from 1 species
GACCUGACUGCUAUCGGAUUGAUACUAAGCCAUGCGAGUCAUUGUAGUAAUACAAGGCAGACGGCUCAGUAACGCGUAGUCAACCUAACCUAUGGACGGGAAUAACCUCGGGAAACUGAGUAUAAUGCCCGAUAGAACAUUAUGCCUGGAAUGGUUUAUGUUCCAAAUGAUUUAUCGCCGUAGGAUGGGACUGCGGCCUAUCAGUUUGUUGGUGAGGUAAUGGCCCACCAAGACUAUUACAGGUACGGGCUCUGAGAGGAGUAGCCCGGAGAUGGGUACUGAGACACGGACCCAGGCCCUAUGGGGCGCAGCAGGCGAGAAAACUUUGCAAUGUGCGAAAGCACGACAAGGUUAAUCCGAGUGGUUUCUGCUAAAGGAACCUUUUGUCGGUCCUAGAAACACCGAUGAAUAAGGGGUGGGCAAGUUCUGGUGUCAGCCGCCGCGGUAAAACCAGCACCUCAAGUGGUCAGGAUGAUUAUUGGGCCUAAAGCAUCCGUAGCCGGCUCUGUAAGUUUUCGGUUAAAUCUGUACGCUCAACGUACAGGCUGCCGGGAAUACUGCAGAGCUAGGGAGUGGGAGAGGUAGACGGUACUCGGUAGGAAGGGGUAAAAUCCUUUGAUCUAUUGAUGACCACCUGUGGCGAAGGCGGUCUACCAGAACACGUCCGACGGUGAGGGAUGAAAGCUGGGGGAACAAACCGGAUUAGAUACCCGGGUAGUCCCAGCUGUAAACUAUGCAAACUCAAUGAUGCAUU